rnacentral:lncRNA from 1 species
AUUCAAAUGACAUAAGCAAAAUACAUUGACCAAAUGUAAAUGGAAUCAACAUCAAUCAAUGGUAAACAGAAGUGAGAUGAAGUUUAGAAGUCAAGAAAGAAAUAAAAUAUUUUUGGUAUUUUUUGGAAUUAAAAUAAUACUUGAAUUAAAAUAAACAAAUAAAGGUCAAACUUCAAAUCCAUUUCAAAUCAUCUUGAAAAAGUCCAAAUGGAUCAUCCUAAGUUCAACAAGGUCAAACAAGGUUUGACAA